rnacentral:rRNA from 1 species
UACAGAAGUCCCAAGCGUUGUUCGGAUUCAUUGGGCGUAAAGGGUGCGUAGGCGGCGCGGUAAGUCGGGUGUGAAAUCUCGGGGCUUAACUCCGAAACUGCAUUCGAUACUGCCGUGCUUGAGGACUGGAGAGGAGACUGGAAUUUACGGUGUAGCGGUGAAAUGCGUAGAUAUCGUAAGGAAGACCAGUGGCGAAGGCGGGUCUCUGGACAGUUCCUGACGCUGAGGCACGAAGGUCAGGGGAGCAAACGGG